UACAGAGGGUGCAAGCGUUGUUCGGAAUUACUGGGCGUAAAGCGCACGUAGGCGGACUGUUAAGUCGGGGGUGAAAUCCUGGGGCUCAACCUCAGAAUUGCCUCCGAUACUGGCAGUCUCGAGUGCGGGAGAGGUGAGUGGAAUUCCCAGUGUAGAGGUGAAAUGCGUAGAUAUUGGGAGGAACACCAGUGGCGAAGGCGGCCUCACUGGACCGACACUGACGCUGAGGCGCGAAAGCGUGGGGAGCAAACAGGG
rnacentral:rRNA from 1 species